rnacentral:rRNA from 1 species
AGGGCACCACCAGGAGUGGAGCCUGCGGCUUAAUUUGACUCAACACGGGAAAACUCACCCGGCCCGGACACCGUAAGGAUUGACAGAUUGAGAGCUCUUUCUUGAUUCGGUGGGUGGUGGUGCAUGGCCGUUCUUAGUUGGUGGAGCGAUUUGUCUGGUUAAUUCCGAUAACGAACGAGACUCUAGCCUGCUAAAUAGGCAGUGGAUUAUUCGUCCACUGUACUUCUUAGAGGGACAAGCAGCGUCUAGCUGCACGAGAUUGAGCAAUAGCAGGUCUGUGAUGCCCUUAGAUGUUCGGGGCUGCACGCGCGCUACACUGAAGGAAUCAACAUGCUUCUCAACCUUGGCCGGAAGGUCUAGGUAACCCGUUGAAACUCCUUCGUGAUUGGGAUAGGGAAUUGCAAUUAUUUCCCUUGAACGAGGAAUUCCCAGUAAGUGCGGGUCAUCAGCUCGCGCUGAUUACGUCCCUGCCCUUUGUACACACCGCCCGUCGCUACUACCGAUUGGAGGUAGAGCAGA